rnacentral:rRNA from 1 species
UUGACUCUGGGAUAAGCCUGGGAAACUGGGUCUAAUACUGGAUACUACCUCUUACCGCAUGGUGGGUGGUGGAAAGGGUUUUACUGGUUUUGGAUGGGCUCACGGCCUAUCAGCUUGUUGGUGGGGUAAUGGCUCACCAAGGCGACGACGGGUAGCCGGCCUGAGAGGGUGACCGGCCACACUGGGACUGAGACACGGCCCAGACUCCUACGGGAGGCAGCAGUGGGGAAUAUUGCACAAUGGGCGGAAGCCUGAUGCAGCGACGCCGCGUGAGGGAUGACGGCCUUCGGGUUGUAAACCUCUUUCAGUAGGGAAGAAGCGAGAGUGACGGUACCUGCAGAAGAAGCGCCGGCUAACUACGUGCCAGCAGCCGCGGUAAUACGUAGGGCGCAAGCGUUGUCCGGAAUUAUUGGGCGUAAAGAGCUCGUAGGCGGUUUGU